UCGAAUUCAGAAGGCUCGAGUUGUAGCUGGUCUCUCAUGGGACAGGUGCUCGCUCUUGCUCUUUCCGACUCACCCUGUGCACUCUUGCGUGGGUUGUGGUGGCUCUUGCCCAUCGCACCUGCGAUUUUCAUAUACCCUUUGCAUGUAUCAGAAUGUUCUUUGCGUUGUACGCAUCUAAUA
rnacentral:misc_RNA from 1 species